rnacentral:tRNA from 1 species
GAGCAUUUAAACUAAUUCUUUCCGCCUUUUAAGCGGACGGUCAUAGGUUCGAAUCCUGUAGUGUCUACCA